ACGAACGCUGGCGGCGUGCUUAACACAUGCAAGUCGAGCGGUAAGGCCCUUUCGGGGGUACGACGAGCGGCGAACGGGUGAGUAACACGUGGGUGACCUGCCCUCAGCUCUGGGAUAAGCCUGGGAAACUGGGUCUAAUACCGGAUAUGACUCCAUGACGCAUGUUGUGGGGUGGAAAGCCUUGUGCGGCUGAGGAUGGGCCCGCGGCCUAUCAGCUUGUUGGUGGGGUGAUGGCCUACCAAGGCGACGACGGGUAGCCGGCCUGAGAGGGCGACCGGCCACACUGGGACUGAGACACGGCCCAGACUCCUACGGGAGGCAGCAGUGGGGAAUCUUGCGCAAUGGGCGAAAGCCUGACGCAGCGACGCCGCGUGAGGGAUGACGGCCU
rnacentral:rRNA from 1 species